rfam:Citrus clementina cultivar Clemenules unplaced genomic scaffold scaffold_4, whole genome shotgun sequence.
GUCAUCAUGUGAUGAAAUGAGGAAAAAUCUUAGGACACCUUCCUACACGGCAUUCAUUUGCUGUGGAUGAGAAGAAAGUUUCCAUUCUGAUGGUGAU